rnacentral:tRNA from 1 species
UGCCGGGUCGUCUAACGGUAGGACAUCGCCCUUUGAAGGCGGUUAUCGGGGUUCGAAUCCCUGCCCGGCAG